rnacentral:rRNA from 1 species
GACGAACGCUGGCGGCGUGCCUAAUACAUGCAAGUCGAACGCAGUGGGGACAGGUUAGUAACACGUGGGUAACCUGCCAUCAGAGGGGAUAACACUUGGAAACAGGUGCUAAACCGAUACUGAUGGAUGUACCCGCGGUGCAUUAGCUCUUUGGUGAGGUAACGGCUCACCAAGGCCACGAGGCAUACCCGACCUGAGAGGCGGAUCGGCAACACUGGGACUGAGACACGGCCCAGACUCCUACGGGAGGAAGCAGUAGGGAAUCUUCGGCAAUGGGCGAAAGUCUGACCGAGCAACGCCGCGUGAGUGAAGAAGGUCUUCGGAUCGUAAAACUCUGUUGUUAGAGAAGCGGUAUCUAACCAGAAAGCAACGGCUAACUACGUGCCAGCAGCCGCGGUAAUAC